rnacentral:rRNA from 1 species
GACGAACGCUGGCGGCGUGCCUAAUACAUGCAAGUUGAGCGAUGAAGAUUGGUGCUUGCACCCAUUUGAAGAGCAGCGAACGGGUGAGUAACGCGUGGGGAAUCUGCCUUUGAGCGGGGGACAACAUUUGGAAACGAAUGCUAAUACCGCAUAACAACUUUAAACAUAAGUUUUAAGUUUGAAAGAUGCAAUUGCAUCACUCAAAGAUGAUCCCGCGUUGUAUUAGCUAGUUGGUGAGGUAAAGGCUCACCAAGGCGAUGAUACAUAGCCGACCUGAGAGGGUGAUCGGCGACAUUGGGACGGAGACACGGCCCAAACGCCUACGGGAGGCAGCAGUAGGGAAUCGGCGGCAAUAGACGAAAGUCUGACCGAGCAACGCCGCGUGAGUGAAGAAGGGUUUCGGAUCGUAAAACUCGGUUGGUAGAGAAGAACGGUGGUGAGAGUGGAAAGCGCAUCAAGUGACGGUAACUACCCAGAAAGGGACGGCUAACUACGUG